rnacentral:misc_RNA from 1 species
UUUCCGUAGGUGAACCCGCGGAAGGAUCAUUAUUGUAUAACCGAGGUGCGAGGGCUGUCGCUGAACCGAAAGGUCGUGCACGCCCGAGUGCCCUCACACACAUCCAUCUCACCCCUAUGUGCACCACCGCGUGGGUCCCCCUUUGGCUUGUUCGGAGGGGGGCUUACGUUUUCACACAAACUUUGUAUGCAGUGUAGAAUGUAUUUUUUGUUUUUGCGAUCACGCAAUCAAUACAACUUUCAACAACGGAUCUCUUGGCUCUC